UGGGGAAUAUUGCACAAUGGAGGGAACUCUGAUGCAGCGACGCCGCGUGAGUGAUGAAGGAAUUCGUUUCGUAAAACUCUGUUCUAUGGGAAGAAAAGGACUGUACCAUAGGAGAAAGCUCCGGCUAAAUACGUGCCAGCAGCCGCGGUAAUACGUAUGGAGCGAGCGUUGUCCGGAAUUAUUGGGCGUAAAGGGUGCGCAGGCGGCGUUACAAGUUGGAUGUGAAAUAUUGUGGCUCAACCACAAACGUGCAUCCAAAACUGCAAAGCUUGAGUUAAGGAGAGGUAAGUGGAAUUCCUGGUGUAGCGGUGGAAUGCGUAGAUAUCAGGAGGAAUACCGGUGGCGAAGGCGACUUACUGGACUUAAACUGACGCUCAGGCACGAAAGCGUGGGGAGCAAACAGG
rnacentral:rRNA from 1 species